GGGUCGAUACCAAAGCGGUCAAAUGGGACUGGCUGUAGACCAGUUGGCUUUGCCUUCGAAGGUUCGAAUCCUUCUCGGCCCA
rnacentral:tRNA from 1 species